AGCAGUCGCCGCGGUAAUACAGAGGGUGCGAGCGUUAAUCGGAUUUACUGGGCGUAAAGCGUGCGUAGGCGGCUUCUUAAGUCGGAUGUGAAAUCCCUGAGCUUAACUUAGGAAUUGCAUUCGAUACUGGGAAGCUAGAGUAUGGGAGAGGAUGGUAGAAUUCCAGGUGUAGCGGUGAAAUGCGUAGAGAUCUGGAGGAAUACCGAUGGCGAAGGCAGCCAUCUGGCAUAAUACUGACGCUGAGGUACGAAAGCAUGGGGAGCAAACAGGAUUAGAUACCCCCGUAGUCCCUGUCUCUUAUAA
rnacentral:rRNA from 1 species